GAAGAUUCGAACUUCCUUUAGUGCUCUCUUGGAUUCCCUCUUCUCUUAUUUCUCAAUUGCUCUCUCUCUUUCUUCCUCUGUAUCUCUUGCUUGUACGCUCUUUGACUCUCUCUUUCUUGUGUUAGGGUUCUUCUUCUCUCGGCUUUUUUUUUAUACGCAACGUAGAAGAUUUGUAAUACAAAAAAAUUUGUGCCAGCAAACACUUGUGCCAGCAAACACGAGCCCACCUGAAGCAUGAAUUCGUAUUGAACCAUUUACAUUACAGAUCAUUGACACCCUAAUUCAAGUCAGAUGCAAUUCCUGUGAAUCUCUGCAACUCCGGCAAAAUCUCAAACCUCUACCACCUCUGUCAAACUCUGAAGCUCGCGACACCUUUCGGCUCAACCAAUUUCGAGCUUUGUCGCCAACUCCCCAAUGUCCUCUCGAUCGCUAUUUCAAGAGACAAAAUCCAAUCCAGGUCUGCCAUUUCCGGUAUGCCUUCGUCGUCGACUCUAUCUGGUAUCUUCAACAGUCCUCACACGUCACCAUUCAAGCCCUGAAGCCUCAAUUCCUCUUUGAUUCUUCCCGAUAGUGAAACUAGAUGCAAAUUUUUUCAAACCAGAAAAAAAUUCAUCUCCUGCGAUUCCUCUUUGCUGUUAUUCUCUGUAAUCUCAGCGGAAAACAGUUUUUUUUUGUGUGAACAUUCCAUGUUCAUCUGCUUAGCUCUUCGCAAGUUCACCAACGAACCACUUUGUCUUGUUCAUUGUUUCCGAUGAUUCCAGCUUCUUCCAGGGAACAGCCCAUGUUCUUCAGCUACUUAGAUGACCUCAGCUCCACCUGGAAUCAGUAUUUCCUUACUGCAAUUCCAGCCACCUCCAGGUAACUCAUUUAACCCAUUAAUCAAUCUGAUUUUACUUUAUCGACAUAAGAACAUCUCCAAAAAACUGACCCGUUUCUAUGUUCUUCUUCCUGCGAGAGUACACUGUCGAUAAUAGAGUUACCUGGAGCUGCACCACCCUUCAAACUAGGUUGAGAAGAUCGCAGCAAACCUGAGCUUUUUGUCCAGGUACAAGUAACAGAAUAGAACAAUAUAAGAAGAAGACUUGAAUCACAACACAAAGAAGACUCGAACUUUCUUUAGUGCUCUCUUGGAUUUCCUCUUCUCUCCUUUCUCAAUUGCUCUCUCUCUCUCUCUCUCUCUCUCUCCCUCCCUCUCUCUCUCUCUCUCUCUCCUUCUCUCUCUCUCUCUCUCUCUCUCUCUCUCUCUCUCUCUCUCCCUGUAUCUCUUGCUUGUAUGCUCUUUGACUCUCUCUUUCUUGUGUUAGGGUUCUUCUUCUCUCGGCUUUUUUUUAUACUCAACGAAGAAAUUUGUAAUGUAAAGGAAUUUGAGCCGGCAAACACUUGAACUCACCUGAAGCAUGAAUUCGUAUUGGGCCAUAUAGAAAGAAUAAUAAGGCCAUUAUCCCACAGUUUCUCUCCAUAUAUAUCCUUAAUAAUGGAGUAGAUUUGCUUACAACUUGGUGCAUAUAUUGAUAACACGCAAGAAAAAAUAACGUAAUUUAUCAGUUUGGUAUAUGCAGCAUCUUCAAGUAACUUAAAAAUUGGAAAAUAGUUCACUGGCUCCCUUUUUGUGCUACAGAUUAUGA